ACGCUGGCGGCAGGCCUAACACAUGCAAGUCGAGCGGAAACGACACUAACAAUCCCUCGGGUGCGUUAAUGGGCGUCGAGCGGCGGACGGGUGAGUAAUGCCUAGGAAAUUGCCUUGAUGUGGGGGAUAACCAUUGGAAACGAUGGCUAAUACCGCAUAAUGCCUACGGGCCAAAGAGGGGGACCUUCGGGCCUCUCGCGUCAAGAUAUGCCUAGGUGGGAUUAGCUAGUUGGUGAGGUAAUGGCUCACCAAGGCGACGAUCCCUAGCUGGUCUGAGAGGAUGAUCAGCCACACUGGAACUGAGACACGGUCCAGACUCCUACGGGAGGCAGCAGUGGGGAAUAUUGCACAAUGGGCGAAAGCCUGAUGCAGCCAUGCCGCGUGUAUGAAGAAGGCCUUCGGGUUGUAAAGUACUUUCAGUUGUGAGGAAGGGGGUAGYGUUAAUAGCGYUAUCUCUUGACGUUAGCAACAGAAGAAGCACCGGCUAACUCCGUGCCAGCAGCCGCGGUAAUACGGAGGGUGCGAGCGUUAAUCGGAAUUACUGGGCGUAAAGCGCAUGCAGGUGGUUCAUUAAGUCAGAUGUGAAAGCCCGGGGCUCAACCUCGGAACUGCAUUUGAAACUGGUGAACUAGAGUACUGUAGAGGGGGGUAGAAUUUCAGGUGUAGCGGUGAAAUGCGUAGAGAUCUGAAGGAAUACCAGUGGCGAAGGCGGCCCCCUGGACA
rnacentral:rRNA from 1 species